GGUAUAGUUCAGUUGGUAGAGUGCUUGUCUGGCAAGCAUAAGGCCCUGGGUUCAAUCCCCAGCACC
rnacentral:tRNA from 1 species